UCAAAAAUUGAGUAAAGAGUUCACUCAGUUUGGGGCCCAGAUGAAAAUGAGAGGAAAGAAUGCCUGGCUUAGGUUCUGUUCUGAAGAGGGAAAGAGAUUUGAUUCAUAGGUUCACAAAAGCUAACUUCACUGCAGAGGGAAAAGUGCUUCCAGGUGACAAUUUCUAGGUUUACUGGAGUUUGGUGGAAGUAGAUGCUAUUGAUGUGAGAGGUUAAUGUCUGUCACAGUCCAGGUAUUUUGCAAUGGCUUUCUUCACAGCAUGUUCAUUUUAAGAGUAAAGAGGUCUUUAUGGUUCAUGGAAGUUUAAUGAGGAUUACAAUAGCCCCCCAGAUACUUACAACAGUCAUUUAAAUAACCCUAACCUCUGUUAUGAGAGGGAACUUGGCAAUUUUAGGUAUUAUACACAUUCUUUUGAAAACUUUACCGUUUCCACAGGCUUUUCCAGUUAUCUCCUACAUACUGCAAUUAUACAUUGUGGGGUAGUAUGUGUUGCUAUGGAAAUGCCCUCCAGUCCUUACUCGGACACGUAAAAGAGAAUCCUUGGGCUCUGUUUUAUGUGUCUUUACAUACACAUAUUCCACAUGUAAGAUUAUGCAGUAUUUUUAUUUUGGUGUCUGGCUUAUUUCACUUAGCAUAAUGUCCUCCCAGUCUAUUCAUGUUGUAACAGAUGAAAGGUUUUCCUCUGUUUUGAAGGCUGAAUCAUACUGCGUUUUAUCAUAUUUUAUUUUUGUUAAUUGAUGGGUAUUGAGGUGGUUUCUGUCUUGGCUAUUGUGGAUAGCGCUGCCGUGAGCAUGAGCGUGCAGGUAUCUUUAUGAGGUUGUGAUUUUUAUCUCCUUUGGGUGUUAUCCCGGAGAUGGAUUGUUGGGUCAAAGGGUAGUAGUUCUAUUAAAUUUCUUUAGGGAUCUCAGUAUUGUUAUCCAUAACGGUUGUAUCAAUCUAAAUUUCCCGCAGUGAUAUUUGUGACUUCUCUUUUCUCCACAUUCUUGGUAAUAAUUGUUUUGGUAACAGUCAUCCUUAAGACUAUGAGGUAAUAUUUCAUAGUGGUUUUAAUUUGCACUUCUCUUAUGAUAAUGUUGAGCACAUUUUCAUAUUGGCCCUUUUAACAUAAUCUUUGGAGAAAUGUCUGUUGGAUCUUUUGACUGUAAUAAACAAUUUAAAAAUUUUUAAAUUCAAAGAGUAUAUAUAUUUGUUGCAGGGAUAUUAUUUGCAUAACAGUGGGGACUUGGCUUCUAGUGUACCCAUCACAAGAUACUGAAUAUAGCACCCAGCAGGUCAGUUCCAUGAAGACUUCGAUAGCUGUCUGCAGGUGCUGUCAGGAUGCCUGGCCUUGAACUUGCUUGCACAAUUUACUUAUCACCUGAGAACAAGCUUCUCCACAACUGCAACUACCUUCAACAACCCAAGGGUGCAGAGAAACUAAUGUCCAUGGGACCACCUUGGAGCAAUAAUCAGAGCAUGAAUCUUCCUCCCUUUUAUUCUCUAGAUUUAACAGGAAAAUGAAGGAAAGGCUGGGAGAAAGCUUCGGAGCAGAGUGGCAUAAUUGAGGCAAUCGGAAGAACCCAUGUCAUAAUCCAUCUCAUACUGCAUCCAACAGCCCAAGUCAUGUACUAUUCAUAUAGCAAUAAAAAAUUAUUCUGAGAGAUGGUGAAAUUUGCAAUGUUCUGUUCAGAAAGUUAAGACUUCAGUUUGUGGGACCUAAGAAAGCGAGAAAGUCUGGAUAGGAAAAAUGAAGUUCUUUAUAUGCAAAGAUAAGCUACAAAAACUGGUGAUGUGGUUUGAUGAAUUUUAAGCUAAUAACCGUAAAAGGCAAGUUUGAGGGACUCUGAGUGACUGAGUUCUGUUAGAUAUUAAAUGUACAUACCACAAGUGUAUAAGCUGAUGGAUUUACAGUAAGUAUACUCAUGUAACUGUCAAGAAAUAGCUUACUACCAUGACCACAGAAAUCUUUCCUUGGCUCUUCCUGGUCAAACUACCAAGCAAAGCCAUUAUUCAGACUUAUAAUCCAAUUGACUCUUUGUUUUUGAAGUUUUUGUAAAUGUAGUGACACAGCCUACUCAUGCUUGUCAAGUGUUAACUUUGUGAGAUUAUCUAUAGUUGUACCUUGAAGCAUAAGCUAGAGUCUUCUAUGCUCCAUGGCACGAAUGCAACAUAAACGAUUGGUCCAUA